rnacentral:rRNA from 1 species
GACAGCGGGUGCAAACGUUGUUCGGAUUUACUGGGCGUAAAGCGCGUGUAGGCGGCUUUGCAAGUCGGAUGUGAAAGCCCACGGCUCAACCGUGGAAGUGCAUCCGAAACUGCAUGGCUGGAGUCUCGGAGAGGAAGGUGGAAUGCUUGGUGUAGAGGUGAAAUUCGUAGAUAUCAAGCAGAACACCUGCGGCGAAGGCGGCCUUCUGGACGAUGACUGACGCUGAGACGCGAAAGCGUGGGGAGCAAACAGG